UACGUAGGUGGCAAGCGUUGUCCGGAAUUACUGGGCGUAAAGCGUGCGCAGGCGGUGAUGUAAGACAGAUGUGAAAUCCCCGGGCUUAACCUGGGAACUGCAUUUGUGACUGCAUCGCUGGAGUGCGGCAGAGGGGGAUGGAAUUCCGCGUGUAGCAGUGAAAUGCGUAGAUAUGCGGAGGAACACCGAUGGCGAAGGCAAUCCACUGGGCCUGCACUGACGCUCAUGCACGAAAGCGUGGGGAGCAAACAGG
rnacentral:rRNA from 1 species